rnacentral:rRNA from 1 species
UAAUGAAAAUCAAAACAAAAAAAAAUUAUUCGUAAAAUUGGUCCUUUCGUACUAAAAAUUACAAAAAAAUUGGAGAUAGAAACCGACCUGGCUUAAACCGGUCUGAACUCAGAUCAUGUAAGAAUUUAAAGGUCGAACAGACCUAUUUAUAAAGCUACUACGCCAAAUAAUUAUCUUAAUCCAACAUCGAGGUCGCAAGCCCUCCCGUAAAUAAGAACUCCAAGAGAGGAUCACGCUGUUAUCCCUAAGGUAACUUAUUCUAAUGAUCAAUAAUAAUGGAUCAUAUACCCAUAAAUCAAUGUUUAUCAAACAAUAAAAGUUAAACAUAUAUCUAAUAUCACCCCAACAAAACACAUAAAAUUUUAACCCAAAAUCAUAUCUCAAAAAUCAAAAUAAAAAUUAAAGUAUAAAGCUCUAUAGGGUCUUCUCGUCUUCCAACAAAAUUUAAGCCUUUUAACUCAAAAGCUAAAUUAUAUAAAUUAAAUUGAGACAGUCAAUUCUUCGUCGAGCCAUUCAUACCAGUCCCCUAUUAAAGAACUAAUGAUUAUGCUACCUUUGCACGGUCAGAAUACCGCGGCCGUUAAAUCCAAGUCACUGGGCAGGCCAAACUUUCUAAACAAACAGAAAGAGAUGUUUUUGAUAAACAGGCGAGAAUUAAUUUUGCCGAGUUCCUUAAAAUAAAUUAUCAAAAUGAAUCAAACAAACAAUAAAAAUAUACUAAUUCAAUCAUUAUUACUUAAAAUUACUAUUAAACAAAAUAUUUUAAUACAAAAGUCAAACAAAAAUAAAUCAAUAUAAAAGCAAAAUAUGACUAUAACGUAAUAGCAAAGAAGGAUGAUCUCAACCCUACUAAAAUAAACAAAAUACUUGCCAGUUAUGACCAUGUUCAGCAAAGAUUAUCCCUCACUGAAUUUCACAAACAAAAUAAAAAAUUAAAAAAUAAAUAAAAUUAAAUUGAAGGAAUAAAUUAAAUUUAUCUCUUAAAAAACUAGAUACCUUUAUAAACGAAUAAAAUGUCUCUACAAAAUAAUAUUUAAUAAAGUGUUACCACAACAAAAAAAAUAUUAAAUUAGCUCUUAUAAAAUCGAGAAAAGAAAAUAAAUUAAAUAUAUUUAAUCAACCCUGAUACAAAAGGUACUACAAAUAAAGUAUACUUUAACAACCGAAAAUCUUCCAAAUAUUUCAAAUAUUCCUUCACAGUACUAAUAAACUAUUACUAAAAAAAAAAAUUCUAAAAAAUACUAAUUAAAGAAAGGUAAUUUCCCAAAUAAAAACAAAUAAAAAAGAAAGUAAAUAAAUAAG